AACGCCGCGUGGAGGAAGAAAGCCUUCGGGUUGUAAACUCCUGUCAGGUGGGAAGAAAAGGCGCAGGUGAACAAUCUGCGUCGUUGACGGUACCACCAGAGGAAGCCCCGGCUAACUCCGUGCCAGCCACCGCGGUGACUGAGCGGGCUGGCAAGGCGCAUA
rnacentral:rRNA from 1 species